AAUGAGGAGCAAAUCAUUGUACAUCAGUGAAAGCAGUACGAGGCGAGAGGCUCGCUUGAUACCUAUGAGAUGAUUACUAGCUUUGUUGCCUAUGUUGAUGAGAAGUUGGGUCAAGAGGUGAUGAGCCCUGAGCAAUGGUCUGCGGCCAUGCGCCAUGUUAGAGAGCAGAUCGCACCGAUAUUGACCAGGAGGCGAGUCCGGAG
rnacentral:lncRNA from 1 species